rnacentral:rRNA from 1 species
UACGUAGGGUGCGAGCGUUAAUCGGAAUUACUGGGCGUAAAGUGUGCGCAGGCGGCCGAGCAAGUCGAGUGUGAAAGCCCCGAGCUUAACUUGGGAACUGCGCUCGAAACUACUUGGCUAGAGUGUGGCAGAGGGAGGUGGAAUUCCACGUGUAGCGGUGAAAUGCGUAGAGAUGAUGGAGGAACACCGAUGGCGAAGGCAGCCUCCUGGGCCAACACUGACGCUGAGGCGCGAAAGCGUGGGGAGCAAACAGG